UACAUUCACCGAUUCUGCUCUCUUCUGCAGGUUAAUACAGCAUCACUACAUUCACCGAUUCUGCAGGUUAAUACAGCAUCACUACAGUCACCGAUUCUGCUCUCUUCUGCAGGUUAAUACAGCAUCACUACAUUCACCGAUUCUGCUCUCUUCUGCAGGUUAAUACAGCAUCACUACAUUCACCGAUUCUGCUCUCUUCUGCAGGUUAAUACAGCAUCACUACAUUCACCGAUUCUGCUCUCUUCUGCAGGUUAAUACAGCAUCACUACAUUCACCGAUUCUGCUCUCUUCUGCAGGUUAAUACAGCAUCACUACAUUCACCGAUUCUGCUCCCUUCUGCAGGUUAAUACAGCAUCACUACAUUAACCGAUUCUGCUCUCUUCUGCAGGUUAAUACAGCAUCACUACAUUCAC